GCUACGGUGUCCUAGUGGUUAGAUCGUCCGCCUCGGAUGCGGAAGGUCUUGGGUUCGUUUCCCACUCGAGUCAUACCA